rnacentral:rRNA from 1 species
CGGUAAUUCCAGCUCCAAUAGCGUAUACUAAAGUUGUUGCAGUUAAAAAGCUCGUAGUUGGAUUUCUGCGGGGACGGAGCGGCCGGACGCAACUUGCGUCUCGAGCUAGCGCUUUCCCCGCAUCCUGCCGCGAACCGUGCUACCAUUAGUUUGGUGGCGCUGGGGAUCGGCUCGAUUACUUUGAGAAAAAUAGAGUGUUCAAAGCAGGCCACACGCCUUGAAUAAGUUAGCAUGGAAUAAUGACUAAGGACUUCGGUUCUAUUUUGUUGGUGUUCGGGACUGAAGUAAUGAUUGAUAGGGACAGUUGGGGCGGUCUGUAUUCCAAAGCGAGAGGUGAAAUUCUUAGACCUUCGGAAGACAAACAGCUGCGAAAGCGUUCCGCAAGGAUGUUCCCUUUGAUCAAGAACGAAAGUUGGGGGAUCGAAGACGAUCAGAUACCGUCGUAGUCUCAACUAUAAACUAUACCAGCUAGGGAUCGGUCAACGUUUAAUUAUUCGACUUGAUCGGCACCUUAUGAGAAAUCAAAGCAUCUGGGUUCCGGGGGGAGUAUGGUCGCAAGGCUGAAACUUAAAGGAAUUGACGGAAGGGCACCACCAGCCGUGGAGCCUGUGGCUUAAUUUAACUCAACACGGGAAAACUUACCAGGUCCAGACAUAGUAAGGAUUGACAGAUUGAUAGCUCUUUCUUGAUUCUGUGGGUGGUGGUGCAUGGCCGUUCUUAGUUGGUGGAGUGAUUUGUCUGGUUAAUUCCGUUAACGAACGAGACCCCAGCCUGCUAAAUAGCGCGGCUGAGCUUUGCUCGGUGCGAGCUUCUUAGAGGGACUAUGAUGCGCGAUAGCACAUGGAAGUUUGGGGCAAUAACAGGUCUGUGAUGCCCUUAGAUGUUCUGGGCCGCACACGGGCUACACUGGCGCCUGCAACGAGCAUAUCAGCUGGCCCGAGAGGGUCUUGGCUAAUCUUUUGAACCGGCGCCGUGCUUGGGAUUGACCUUUGCAAUUGUUGGUCAUGCAACGAGGAAUGCCUUGUAAACGCGAGUCAUCAGCUCGCAUUGAAUACGUCCCUGCCCUUUGUACACACCGCCCGUCGCUCCUACCGAUGAAUGUUCCGAUGAAAUUUUCGGAGAGCGCCAGAGAACGGGGCUCUGCCUUGCAGAUCUGGAGGCUCAAAGUCACUUAAAUCUGAACAUUUCGAGGAAGGAGAAGUCGUAACAAGGUAGCCG